GAAGAGGAUGUGUUCUACCUUGAUCCUUUCACACUCAGGAAAAAAACAUGACAUGCUACGUAUUGGAAAAGUACCUUAUUAUGUCUUCUUGAUGUGCUGUGUUACCAGACGGGGAUGGUCUUGAGAAAAUAUCUCACCCUGUAAAUGUCACCGACGUACCUUGGAUAUCAUUACCGUUUUGCCUCCAUCUGCAGAAUGCGGUGUGCUGGUAGUACUGCUACUUCUGUGUUUUGUCUGAGAUGCAUAACCGAUAGGAGCCUUGGAUACACAGGACCAUGCCCCAGUCCACCUGGCCGUGCUGCUGCUCCAGUUUCAACUGUUCUGCCUGCUGCUAUGAAACCCUGACCUGUUCACCGGACGUGCUACCUGUCCCAGACCUGCUGUUUUCAACUCUCUAGAGACAGCAGGAGCGGUAGAGAUACUCUGAAUGAUCGGCUAUGAAAAGCCAACUGACAUUUACUCCUGAGGUGCUGACCUUUUGCACCCUCGUCAACCACUGUGAAUAUUAUUAUUUGACCCUGCUGGUCAACUAUGAACAUUUGAACAUCGUGGCCAUGUUCUAUUAUAAUCUCCACCCAGCACAGCCAGAAGAGGACUGGCCACCCCUCAUAGCCUGGUUCUUCUCUAGGUUUUGUCCUAGGUUCUGGCCUUUCUAGGGAGUUUUAUCCUAGCCACCGUGUUUCUACACCUGCAUUGCUUUCUGUUUGGGGUUUUAAGCUGGGUUUCUGUACAGCACUUUGUGACGUCAGAUGAUGUAAGAAGGGCUUUAUAAAUAAAUGUGAUUGAUUCUUGCCAUAAUAUGGAUUUGGUAUUUUACCAAAUAGUACUAUCGUCUGUAUACAACCCCUAACUUGUCACAACACAAUGGAUUGGCUCAAACGCAAUAAGAAGAAAAUAAAUUCCACAAAUUAACUUUUAACAAGACACACCUGUUACCAUGUGACUACCUGGUAGUAGUUGAGAGAAUGCCAAGCUGGUUGAGAGAAUGCCAAGAGUGUGCAAAGCUGUCAUCAAGGCAAAGGGUGGCUUCAUUGAAGAAUCUAAAAUCUAUUUUGAUUUCUUUAACACUUUCUUGGUUACUACAUGAUUCCAUAUGUGUUAUUUCAAUGUUGUGAUGUCUUCACUAUUACUCUACAAUGUAGAAAAUAGUAAAAAAAAACUUGAAUGAGUGUCACGGUCGUCCUCCUCUUCAUCUGAAGUGGAGAGGCGAGAAGGAUCGGAGGACCAAAAUGCAGCGUGGUAUGUGUCCAUGAUGAGUAUUUAAUAAAAUAAAGCACUGAACACUGAAUACAAACUAUACAAAAACAAUAAAUAACGACCGUGAAGCUAUAAAUGAGACCUGUGCUGACACAAGCAACUAACAUAGACAAUCACCCACAAACAAACAGUGAAACCCAGGCUACCUAAGUAUGAUUCUCAAUCAGAGACAACUAAUGACACCUGCCUCUGAUUGAGAACCAUACUAGGCCGAAACAUAGAAAUCCCAAAAUCAUAGAAAUGUCACGAAUACUACCGAACGCUCGGCGGUCGUCGUCGCCGGUCUACUAGCUAUCGCCGAUCCGUUGUUCUGUGUUCCUUUAGUUCUGUCUAAUUGGUAGCACCUGUUUCUUGUUUGGUUGUUAGGGUAGGGUUUUAUAUAGUCUGUUCAGCCCGCUUCUGUUUCGUGCGGGCUUGUUCGUCUGUUUUGUUGUUUGAGUGUAUUUUUGUUUGCAUUUGGGUUUCACGCUGUCCGUUUAUAUUUCUGUUCAUUUGUGUUUCCACUUUUGUUCAUGUUAUGUUUCCGGGACAUUAAAGCGUGUUUUUUUCCCACA